rnacentral:misc_RNA from 1 species
AAGGAACCAACCACCACUCUGACACCAAACAGCAUGAUCUCUCGGGCUCCUCCACCAGCACUGACGCCGCCGCCAGUGGUGCACGUGCCAGCCAUUUCUCAACGAUUCAGAGAGAAAUCCCAAAUCCUUCGUCUUCGAUGUAUGGUUGCAGGUUUUUGAGAUGUAUUUGGAAUGGGGGGGCGGCGGAAUCUGCAAUCAGGGGCCGCACAAUUGUAAAGGAAAAUUAAAUUAAAUUAAAUUAAAAAGGAAAAAAUGGGGUUG